rnacentral:misc_RNA from 1 species
UCCGGUUUGGCACCGGCAGUCUCCCUAGAGUUCCCGGCAUGACCCGCUGGCAACUAAGGACAGGGGUUGCGCUCGUUGCGCCACUUAAGGCAACACCUCACGGCACGAGCUGACGACAGCCAUGCACCACCUGUGCAGGCUCCGAAGAGCGCCCGCUUUCACGGGUUUCACCCUGCAUGUCAAGCCCAGGUAAGGUUCUUCGCGUCGCAUCGAAUUAAGCCGCAUGCUCCGCCGCUUGUGCGGGGCCCCGUCAAUUCCUUUGAGUUUUAGCCUUGCGGCCGUACUCCCCAGGCGGGGUACUUAAUGCGUUAGCUACGGCACGGAUCCCAAGGAAGGUGGGGAUGACGUUUACGUGCACUU